rnacentral:misc_RNA from 1 species
GGAACAUUCAAAUAGCUAUAGAACUUCAAUUAAGGAAUAGCUACUGGUACAAUUAUGAUAUUGUUAAAAAGUGACAACAGCAAUUAAAUCAAAUAAGCAAAGCAUGUGCAAAACUAAGACUGAAGCUCUGUUUACAAAUAUUUUUAAAAAAUAAUAUCAAUUGGAUCUUAGAUCUAACCACAUACCAUAAUUUCAAAACAUUCCUCAACCCAAAUGAAGUAACUCCUAUAUAUCUCCCUAUGCUAAAAGAAACGGGGAAAAAGCAGCAAAGGAAAUAAAAUAUAUGCCCAGUUCAUCCUAACCAGUAUUUGUU